rnacentral:rRNA from 1 species
GACGAACGCUGGCGGCGUGCCUAACACAUGCAAGUCGAGCGAAUGAAGUUCCUUCGGGAACGGAUUUAGCGGCGGACGGGUGAGUAACACGUGGGCAACCUGCCUCAUAGAGGGGAAUAGCCUUCCGAAAGGGAGAUUAAUACCGCAUAAGAUUGUAGUACCGCAUGGUACAGCAAUUAAAGGAGCAAUCCGCUAUGAGAUGGGCCCGCGGCGCAUUAGCUAGUUGGUGAGGUAACGGCUCACCAAGGCGACGAUGCGUAGCCGACCUGAGAGGGUGAUCGGCCACAGUGGGACUGAGACACGGCCCAGACGCCUACGGGAGGCAGCAGUGGGGAAUAUUGCACAAUGGGGGAAACCCUGAUGCAGCAACGCCGCGUGAGUGAUGACGGCCUUCGGGUUGUAAAGCUCUGUCUUCAGGGACGAUAAUGACGGUACCUGAGGAGGAAGCCACGGCUAACUACGUGCCAGCCGCCGCAGUAACAC